rnacentral:rRNA from 1 species
UACGUAAGGGGCAAGCGUUGUCCGGAAUCAUUGGGCGUAAAGAGCGUGUAGGCGGCCAGAUAAGUCCGCUGUGAAAUCUCGAGGCUCAACUUCGAGCUGUCGGUGGAAACUGUCUGGCUAGAGUCCGGAAGAGGAGAAUGGAAUUCCUGGUGUAGCAGUGAAAUGCGCAGAUAUCAGGAAGAACACCCGUGGCGAAGGCGGUUCUCUGGGACGGUACUGACGCUGAGACGCGAAAGCGUGGGGAGCGAACAGG